rnacentral:lncRNA from 1 species
UUAUUUUUCCUUAUACAAUUAAUAAGCCACUAAUUCUAAAAGUAACACCCUUCCCUUCCGAUAAUUAACUUCCACGACUCUUUACAACUGAUGGCGUGGAAAAAAAAAAGAAUUACAAUUAUAUUUUUUGGCGGCAUCUCUUCACAACCACGAUCGAAGCACCACUCCCAAUUCCCAUAUUCCACAAUAAAUACUCCUUCCUCUCAUAUUUUCAAUAUAAUUUGCUCUACAAUUUCUAAUUUCCUCUUGUCAUGUUCUAUUCGCCGCAGAAAUCAGAAGUUCUAGCAAGAGAGAAAGAGAGAAUGGAAGCUAACUACCUCAAUCACACGCCAUGAGUUCCAGCAGCGCGCUUUCUUCCGGCGAUGAGAGAAGCGUCUCAAAGUAUAUGUCCACGAUAACGUUUACGGAAACAUCUCUAGAUCUUAUAACUCUUAUGUUUUCGUGGAUAUUUUAAUUCUUGUUUCUAAUCGCAUUUGAGAGUCUUUAUUUUUAUUUAUCUAAUGUCUAGAUUCCAAAUGGUGUUCACUUUUGAGAGAUGCGGAUCAUAUAUGCCAUGUAUUGCAAUACGACGAGUCGAUGAAGAUGGUGAAGCUAAACCACAAAAAAUUGGAGUGAAGAUCUUGAAGUGCUUGGUUUAUCUUCAAGACACAUAAUAGAUUUUUGGCACCUUAGUUAUUUAAAUAUUUUGAAAUGUUUGUAAUUGGCAUAUUAUUUUGAUUUUAUGUAAUAUUAUUUGAUAAAAUUUCUAUGCUACAAUCGUGUUAGAUGCAUUUUCAUGUGUUUUUUGUAUUUAUAUUUGAUCUUUGAUAUCAC